rnacentral:misc_RNA from 1 species
GAAAUACUAAAUACUAUUUUAAAAAUUAUUGUUGAAUAGGGUGUAAAUUUUUUUUUGUUUUCAGAUUACUUUCAAGAUAAUUUUUACGUAAUAAAAUGAAUACAUUCAUGCAUCAAUUUGAUCCAUUUAAAAUAUAUAAUUCAAAUAUUGAAACGAAAUACGGUCUUUUUUUUCUGGAAAAGAAUUAUUGUUGAGUCCUAAAUAAGCAUCCCAGGUUAGAGAUAAUCGAGGUCAUGAUGGAGAUGGACUUGGAGUAAUGUAGGACCCAACGGAUGUAGACCAGACACAAGACCUACCUUCCACCACAAUUUCUUAAGGGUAGACAAGAAAAGAAUCCUGUAGUGGUAGGCCCAUCUCAACUUGCGUUCCACCACCGUUACAUGAUGGGGUCCACUGUUUUGGCGUAAGAUUUAAUGAGUGAGUACAUUAACUGGUGUGGUCUAACGGCAUCGUAAGAUAGCUCCAUCCAAACAUUGCAAGAAAACAAAAAGAAGGUAAUAAAUUGAAGAAUUUACCGUAAGCGGUUAACUGUGUAGAGU